rnacentral:rRNA from 1 species
GAUGAACGCUGGCGGCGUGCCUAAUACAUGCAAGUCGAGCGAACAGACGAGGCGCUUGCUCCUCUGACGUUAGCGGCGGACGGGUGAGUAACACGUGGAUAACCUACCUAUAAGACUGGGAUAACUUCGGGAAACCGGAGCUAAUACCGGAUAAUAUAUUGAACCGCAUGGUUCAUUAGUGAAAGUCGGUUUUGCUGUCACUUCUAGAUGGAUCCGCGCCGCAUUAGCUAGUUGGUAAGGUAACGGCUUACCAAGGCAACGAUGCGUAGCCGACCUGAGAGGGGGAUAGGCCACACUGGAGCUGAGACACGGACAAGAGGACUACGAGAGGGAGCAGUAGGGAAUCUGCGGCAGUGGGCGAAAGCCUGACGGAGCAACGGCGAGUGAGAGAUAGAGGUGUUCGGAUCGUAAAACUGUGUUAUGAGGGAAGAACAAAUGUGUAAGGAAAUAUGCACGUCUUGACGGUACCUAAUCAGAAAGCCACGGCUAACUACGUG